AGACGUCCCCACUACCACGAGGCGGUGGUUUCGAGCAUAUGGAGCUUUUCAGGUGAUUUUUGUGUAAAAUUAUCAUUAGUCUUACUCCUGAACUCGGACCCGUCAGACGUGCACGAUCGGUUCGUGCGUACGUGUGUACGUGUGAGUGCUGCACACCAAACCGUGGUUUUCCCAGCGGCUCCAUCGACCAAACAUUUAAUUAUACGGCCAAUCAAAUGUACUACAAUAAUAAAUCGCUCUAUUCAUAGUGUGCGACCCGUGUUUACUGCGGAAGUUUUUUUUAAAUAACUCAAUUGUGCAAAUGAAAAAUCAAGCGGUGCGAGCAACCGGGACGAAUAAAACAAAUCAUUCAUUUCGUCGUACAAAGAAUCUCGCCGAACGAUCGUGCUUGUGACAUCAUCUGGUAGUUAUGUGUGUGUGUGCUUGUUGCAACUAGGUAACAUUCCAUCGCACGCGUGUCCUUCAGGUUGUGACGAACGCGGGCAAAAGAAAGCAGUUCCGUCCUCAUCGUGAAGCAAGCGAAGGAAGAAAGUGUAAUUCGGCCUAAAAAACGAAUGUAGUGAUACAGACCAUCGGGCAGACAAAGUUGGUGCAUAAUAUUCUCCAGUUGUUGAAUUGAGUUUGUGAAUGUUUGAUACAGAGUAAUCGUAUUGAUUUCUAGCCAUACAGCGUGAAUACAGCGACCAUACAUCAAAUCAGCGACAAAUCUGUAUGUGGUACAAUGGAAGACGAAAAGCAACGGCAGCUUUGGAUCAUUUUUCAAAUGUGAUCGACUGACUGGCAGAAUUGACGGGAUAAGGAUAAACAUCAAUAGUAGUCUCUCUCCUUCUCCCAUUACUGUAUUGAAAGCUAUCAACGUCCACGGAGCGCGCCCGGAGAGCUCCAGUUCUAGUGACGGUGCCUUAAGCUAUGUUUCGAUGCACCGUUUCAAACGGCAAGCAGGAGCAGAAAUUAAGAACUCAAGCUACGCGCCACUGGCGCAAAUAUCCCAACUCCUGAUCUGCAACACCAACACAACGCCAUCGAGCUUUGCGUACCCUCCGGUAUACUGUCAACGGUACUAACGGAUUUAGUAGUAGAGUGUCAGCUAAGCGUACUUCACACAGCUC